rnacentral:rRNA from 1 species
GACGUAGGGGGCUAGCGUUGUCCGGAAUUACUGGGCGUAAAGAGCUCGUAGGCGGCCUGUUAAGUCGGGUGUGAAAGCCCUCGGCUCAACCGAGGAACUGCACUCGAUACUGGCGGGCUAGAGUCUGGUAGAGGGAGGUGGAAUUCCCGGUGUAGCGGUGAAAUGCGCAGAUAUCGGGAGGAACACCGGUGGCGAAGGCGGCCUCCUGGGCCACGACUGACGCUGAGGAGCGAAAGCUGGGGGAGCGAACAGG